CACAUGGGUCUACGGGUCGAUACUCUAGCACCGAAGAGAACGCUCGGUACACUUGCACUCGGCCGAGUACGUCUGCACCGGGGACGCCUGGCCGCUCGUCCUAGCUGUGCGUACAACACGAGGCAAUCUUGGCCGAUAUAAUACAUCUUUGAAUAAAUGAUAGUUCGAUCGUCGAUAUCUUGUUUAUAUACAUCUUUCGAGGGCGUCAAAGUAAGGAGGAUGGUGUCAUUGAAUUAUUUCGACAUGGAAAUGAUCUAUAUAAUGGAGUAAUGACAUUUUAGAUAAAAUAUUUUAAAGACCAUUGUUCGAGAGAAGUUAAAGAAAGGCUAAUGGUCCCUGUGUUACUACAUGGAAGAAGAAGAAGGAAGAAGGAAGAAGAAGAAAUGUGCUUUCGUCUAUAGCCCAAGCAUCUUAAGGAAUUUUAUCUCCAAGUGUAGAGAAGAAGAGUCCCCAGCACCUUUCAAUGGGGAUACAUAUGUAUGUCUGCUCUGUAUGUACAUACAUACAUAGAUAUAUAUCUACAUAUGUAUAUACUCUAUUUUACGUGAGCAAGGAAUAUACAUCGCAUCAAUGUAGAUAGAAAUAAAAGAAUACAAAUGUAUGUAUGUACCUGCAUGACACAACCUUUGUCUGCCGUCAAAGCAUAUCGAUUGCAAGCCGUAUCCCAUGGAAAACCUUUGCACCCGUCGACAUCACAACUACGAUGUCACCUGAAAGUACAAAUUUUAAAUUAAUCCAACGUACUAUCAAAACUGUUUGUUCGUUUAAUUUAAAAAGGUAUCUUUUUAAUGUUAAAUUAUUCUGAUUGUGUC